ACUGCAAGUUUGUAUUGUACAUAAAUUUCAAACUAUCAGGUAUAAAAAAGAAAACUAGUUUUCUCCUUUGUACAUAAUUAUAAGACAAAGUGUAAAUUCAGUAUAUUACAAGACUUGAGUUAUUAACACACCCUAAAACAACAAAACAAGUUAUCAAAUUCAAGUUACAAGAUUUUGGUUUUAAGAUCAAACAAGCCUCCAAAUAACAUACAUAAGUGUGACAUAUAUAUAUCAUGUACAUGCCCCAAAACUAUACAAAACCAAGGUGCAUAUGCAAAUGUGAUCUCCAUAAUUGCUUUUAAAAAGACUACUUCAUAAGGCCGUCUUCAAUUUUCAUCCCGUAUAUUACCUACGAUAGAAAAUAACUUUCGCUAAGCAUAAAGCUUAGUGGCGUAUAAACUUUGGGCUUGGAGUCAUUAAAUUUUUCAAUUUCCCAUUUUUAGUUACAAGUAGCUCAAAUUUAACAUAAUUUAAAACAAGUGAACUAAUAUAUCAAAAGUAUCAAAUAUCAAACCUUGAAGUGUUUUCAAAUAUCAAUAACAAUGUUCAAGAGUCGAGAAAGCGUAUACUAUCAAUCCAAGAGAGUUUGCCAAAUAUCCAUUUUUCACCCAAUAUGUACGUCGUGCCAUCACACUAAGCAUAAUCAGAUAUCAAGAUGGGUCGAAGCCCCAAAUCAAGUAAGGUCAAAACCCAAUAGUCAAGAGAAUCAAGAGCCAUAUUAAAAAUGACUUCCUAGUUCGUACUUAACACGGACAAGCUCUAUAAUUUAAAACGAACUACAAAUCCAAAGUCAAGAUGACAAAAGAUCCAAAUCAAGAGGCAUGCCAAGAUGAGUGACAAAGUCACUGCCACGAGAAGGACAAAGUCCCAACAAGAAUGCAAAAUGAUCAAGCAAAUCCGUACGAGUGGGUGAUUUAGCGAAUACCUUACAAUACUUGAUAUAACACAAAUACAACGAUAUAAAUUAAAGAAAAUAAAUAAAAUCUCAAGUUAUUUCAAACAAUUCCAGCAAGAAAAAAUAGUACAAAAUUUAUACACAAACCUUGGUGUUUUACCACAAAACAGUUCAACCACACCUUGAGGACAAUCGAAUCGUCUACGCCAUAGACAAACUAAAUCCGUCCACUUCCUCAAACACUUUCCCUUAGAUUUUACAAGGGUAUAUAUAUACCUUAAAUACAUAAUCAAUAUCUAUGUAAGUUCAGUGAUUUAACUUGUCAAACUAAACAUGAUAUUGGUGAAAAUUGCCCAAAACUUUUGAAACAGAAAUUCUGGACAAUAUCACUGUCUUGUGUUAUGACUCAGUUUUGAAGAUGAAAAAGACAAACUAGACUGUAUGAUCUUCACUACAGUUGUAGAUAUAUGUCUUAGCGUUUCAGAACAUCUUGAAUCACCCCAAUAUCAGUUUCGUAUAAAAAAUUAUGCUAAAAUUACUAACAGUAGUACAAAGAGUAUUUUUAAAACUGAAAAUCUGGACAGCACCUGCCUUGUAUUUUAUAACUCUUUUCGGGUAAAUACAAGCAAAACUAAAUUUUGGUUCCUGAAUAAGAGUUAUAGAUCUAUGAAAUAGCUUUCCAGAAAGUCUUAGAUCACUUAAAACAGAGCUCUAUACAAAAAGAUAUGAAGAAAAUACUAAUAGUUAUCUAGUGUAAAAACGGGUUUAGUAACUUACCACAAAAGAGAAGAGCAACUUGAGCUUCACCAAGAACGAGUUUUGCUGGUUGGUUUAGUGGAAAUUUUUGAUGGUUUUCAUGAAAUUUUUCAGGUGAUAAGAAGGAGAGAGGGUAGGGGUUUUCUUUGUCUUGAAAGAAUGAAUUAUGAGAAGAGAUUAUGGAAAAUCAAGUCAACCAAAGUAAUAGCUAAACUUUGG
rnacentral:lncRNA from 1 species